AGAGAUGGUAAAGGUACCGACUAUUGAAGUUGGCCGUGGUGUUAAGUGCAAACGAUAAAAGGUUGAUAGCUAGUACUCCUGGCGAUAAAAAGUGGAAAUGUUAUUGCAUUUGGUAGCAGGAUGUCAAACCUAUUGGUGACUGCAAAAUCCGGUGGAGGUAGCAUACGGUGAAAUGCGAAGGAAAGUUAGCUGCAGCAGUGAUGAUGUGAGGUUAAAAGCAUAAAGCAAUGGGUGGUCGAGCAGUGGUUUGGCAGAAGGAAUUUCAAAGAUUGUCGUCAAGUCAAAGCAUGAUGGAUGGAUAGAUAGGAAAGAGGAGAUGAACAACUUGAAGCCCAUAGACAUGGAACUUACAAGUCCAUCCGUUAAAUUUAUUUAACCAUGCUACUCUAUUGGUGGCCGCCGGUCACAUGUGGUAUUGUAUUUCUUCAAGUGUGCAAUUGUGCACACACAUAUGCAUCCAUACAAACAUAAUAAACAAUGCGUAUUAUCCAAAUGCAUGAAAAACAGUCUAGGUCUCUUCACUGCUCUUGGUCAUCCAUCUAUUGUGUAGUAAGAGUAAGGUCAAUCAAAUUAGAAAGGAAUUACGAUCUUGGUUCAGUAAAGACCUUACCCCCUGAAUCGCGAUCAUCAAUGGUGUCUUCUUUUUCAUUUUCUUCAAUGUUCAAAAGUCACUGGGUCGGGCGGCUAGGCACCACCUAGCGCCCUGGCACGAUUAAUCGACUCCUAGAGAUUACUCAGUUUUUCCUUUUUAAUUUUUUUUUUUUUAUAAAAAUAUUACCUCCCCAAGUUUUGAGGAAGUAGAACAACAUAAGUACAGAAAAACAUUAAUUCACAUCCAAACAAAGUAAAUAGAGCCUACAUACACAUAAUUUCAAUUUAUUUCGUAUAGCAUAGAUGUAUACAUAAUAUUUAUAUUGAUUUAGGUUUAGAUAUAGAUCAUUUAUAUUGGAUAAUUCCUAACUCUCUCCCACUUGAUCCUGCAAGCCUUUACUUCUUUCUUUGAUGGCUGUCACUGCGGGUCGCUUCAAAGUUUCAGGUUCUGUCAUGAAACCCCGUCUUUUUGGCCUCAAUUGCUCUCAUAAGAGUUCGUUCAAAAGUCAAAAGGGUUAGGAUGGUAGUUUCACUUGCUUAACUUACUGGUAGUUGCAUAAGGACACUAAGCCCAAUGGGAUAUUUCCGCUGUCCUAUUACCAUUAGAUGCAUAUUAUAUAUUAAAACUACAACAUUACCACAACAUUUAACCCCUUAGAUUUGCAAAAUUACAUAUUUAACCCAUGAUUAAUCCUGCCUAGCUACUUAAUUCUUCAAUUAAUCCCGCCUAGCCCCUUAAUUCUUCAAUUAAUCCCGCCUAGCCAGCAAAUUCUCCAAUUAAUCCCUCCUAACCGCCUAAUCCCGCCAAGUCGAUUAUCGCCGCCUAGACGAUUAGUCGCCGACUAAUCCCACCUAUCAACCGACUAAUAUCUUGCCGCCUAAUUCAACGCCUAGGCCCAUAGUCGAGGCGGCGGACCAGCGCCUAGUCGGCCUCCUAGGCUGACUUUUAGAGCACUGGUUUUCUUUCCUCUUUUCUUUCUUUUCUUCUUUUUGCACUAAGUGAAAUGAUAAGUGAUGGUAAUGAAAAUUCAGGUCAGCUGUUCCAUCUUAGAUGGGAUCAUGGGAGGGUUACAUUAAGCACUAUGUUUGUGCACUAGCCGACUGAAAACAUGUUUGCAAUAUUACACAUAGCAAACCAAAUGCUUUCAUAAAUAGAUUCAUGAACAAAGCAGCGAAAACUGAUCUCACCUUCUUUGCCGAAGUGGUCCUUUCCUUGGCAGAAAAUCAGCCACGGUAUCCACAGUUAAUAUCCCAGC